rnacentral:misc_RNA from 1 species
AAUUAGUGUGGAAUGAAUUUUCGGUAAUCGAUUCUUAAUUCCCAGUAUUUAUGAGCAUUUGAUCUUUAAGAUUUACAAGUUAUCUAGUCUAUGUUGUCUCAAAGUUUCAACUACAAGGGAAAUGCCUUUAAUGACACGUUUUAUCUGUAUCUUUGUGCUACUAUGAAGGUCUCUUUCUGUCCUUCUCAACUUUUUUCUUUUGAUUCCUGAAUUAUCUAACGUCCUUUUCGUUUUGGUGUUUAAUCAUACUCUUCGUUGUUCAGAAUUGCCAAAGUGAUUGCUUUUAAUUAAUCAAUUGGCAUAAGUUGUAGAUAAGGUGAAGGGGUGAGACUAGAUAAUCUGCUUAUGUGGAGGUCAAAAAGGAAAAAAAGAAAAGAAAAAGAAAGACAGCACCAAAAAGUACCAACUUAUAGGUGUGGAGAGAGAGGAAAAUGGAAUUGCAAAGGAGAUAUGGGGUCACUUAUCUCU